GUACGCGUAAUUUAAAAAAAAUAUUAGGCCGUGGCCCUAAAAAUAGAACUCUCUCGCCUACC
rnacentral:tRNA from 1 species